rnacentral:hammerhead_ribozyme from 15 species
AACUGGUCGGGAGCUGAUGCCAUUCUCCUAACGAGGCUAUGGCAGGCCGAAACCAGUU